rnacentral:tRNA from 1 species
UUAGGGAGACCUACCCGCAUUGACGCUUGAACACAAUUUGUCAUUAGAGCCAAUGUUGGUCAUCCCAAGGUCGUUCAAGGAUUAAGUGUUGGCUUUCAAACUAGCUAGGUUUGGUUUAUGGGCUAUUAGCUCAGGUGGUUAGAGCGCACCCCUGAUAAGGGUGAGGUCCCUGGUUCGAGUCCAGGAUGGCCCACCUUUGAUGAGGGGGUUUAGCUCAGUUGGUAGAGCGCCUGCUUUGCAAGCAGGAUGUCAGCGGUUCGAGUCCGCUAACCUCCACUGAGUUAAUGGUUAUUUUUUGAACCAAUUAACGCGGAAGCCUUCAGCAACUCAUCUAGGUUAUUCUAGAGAGCCUGCUGGAUCUGUUUCCAGCUAGAACCUUGAAAACUGCACAGUACUUGUCAGGUAGAAAGAGCAACGUGUUCUUGAGUCUUGAUUUCAGCCCUCAAAAGCCGAUUUCAAGCAGUUGAGAGCGUGUUGUGAAAUCAUAGACACCAAUGAAUUUGUCAGU